UUAUCAGACUUGUUGCAGGAUUGUUCCAACAAGUCUGUUACAGUCAUGAUACAACAGUAUUGUUACAAUCUUGUAUCAUCAACCUGGUAACAUUCUUGUUGUAUCAUGACUGUAUCGCACUUGUUGGAACAACCUUGUAACAAGUCUGAUAA
rnacentral:miRNA from 1 species